rnacentral:lncRNA from 1 species
AUGAGUCAAGUUAGAAAGAGACCGAAAAAACAUCGGUCAGAGUGUUUGAUGUAUCCGCAGUAUGCUGUGAGGACAUGGCUCCUAUCGUCUAACGAUAACAGUGAUGAUGAUGAUGAUGACGAUGACGAUGAUGAUAAUGAUGAUGAUGUUGUUGAUAAGGCUGAUGAUAGUUGUGAAAUUAACUGUGAUAGAUUUAUGGGACAAGCUGUCAACUAUUGUGACGAUAGUGAUUCAAGUAUUUCCUAUACAAGAUGCGAUCGAGAUAAAUGGAAAGUCUCAUCAUCAACGAAUAUUGUGGGAUAUUUAUCGACAGAAUCUAGCUUUGAGGUGCAAAAUCAGCACACUGGCAUAGAGGAUCUCUCAAAAUUAGAUGAAGAUACUAAACUUUUGCCAUCAUGCCAGCUCCCAGGCUUAUUCCCAACAAAUAAUUUUUCCGUCAGUCAGUCAGUCGACCGUCAAAGUCUUCCAGUGAUCUGCUCUGCCCCCAUCUUGAAAAGCACUGUCAAAUCACAUUCGGUUUCGCUAAAUAUUCCUGUUAAUUAUAAUCCUCCUUCAGGACCUCUCACAAAAAGGAGUGAAGAAUCAUACCCUAAAAGUCCGUCUUCGCAUAAAGCACACAUGGUUUCUUUAGAACUUCCCAAAUUAGGAAGUGUUUCCAAACCGAUCAGUAACUCUAGUCAACAAAGUGGUAAUUCCAAUAAAAGUCCAGGUUUGCACCGAAGUUACAGCUAUCAAUUUAUCGGGUGCCCGAGUAGUCUGAGAUCAUCUGAUUCCGGAUUAGCCGAUGUCACGACUCCCGACAUUGCUCAGCAUAGAUCGCCGCAGGGACCUGAUAGUGCAGAGGCUUGCCUAGAAUCAGAGACAUCCAGUAGUUUUGAGAUGCAAUGCGUUUGUACAUCACCUUUUGGCUCCACAUCUAACACAUCGACUGAUUCAAUGUCCUCGACAAGCCCGUCCGUCCCUACAACACUCUAUCGCUCAGGAAUGUACGCCCAUUGGUGGCUCAAAGCGAAGAUUCCAGCCUCUGCUGUCACCCAGUCAAAAUCAGGCAAGCUUGUGUGA